UUAGUAACUCUGCCAAAGUGUCUCUUUUAAGGUCACUUUGCCGGUCCCAAGCCCGGAUAAAAGAGGAGGGUUAA
rfam:Astyanax mexicanus chromosome 6, whole genome shotgun sequence.